UACGGAGGGUGCAAGCGUUAUCCGGAUUCACUGGGUUUAAAGGGUGCGUAGGUGGGAAUGUAAGUCAGUGGUGAAAUCUCCGUGCUUAACACGGAAACUGCCAUUGAUACUAUGUUUCUUGAAUUAUCUGGAGGUCAGCGGAAUAUGUCAUGUAGCGGUGAAAUGCUUAGAUAUGACAUAGAACACCAAUUGCGAAGGCAGCUGGCUACAGGUGGAUUGACACUGAGGCACGAAAGUGUGGGGAUCAAACAGG
rnacentral:rRNA from 1 species